rnacentral:rRNA from 1 species
GACGAACGCUGGCGGCGUGCCUAAUACAUGCAAGUAGAACGCACAGUUUAUACCGUAGCUUGCUACACCAUAGACUGUGAGUUGCGAACGGGUGAGUAACGCGUAGGUAACCUGCCUGGUAGCGGGGGAUAACUAUUGGAAACGAUAGCUAAUACCGCAUAAUAUUGAUUAUUGCAUGAUAAUUGAUUGAAAGAUGCUAUUGCAUCACUACCAGAUGGACCUGCGUUGUAUUAGCUAGUAGGUGAGGUAACGGCUCACCUAGGCGACGAUACAUAGCCGACCUGAGAGGGUGAUCGGCCACACUGGGACUGAGACGCGGCCCAGACUCCUACGGGAGGCAGCAGUAGGGAAUCUACGGCAAUGGACGAAAGUCUGACCGAGCAACGCCGCGUGAGUGAAGAAGGUUUUCGGAUCGUAAAGCUCUGUUGUAAGAGAAGAACGGGUGUGAGAGUGGAAAGUUCACACUGUGACGGUAGCUUACCAGAAAGGGACGGCUAACUACGUG